CAAGUCCAUCUUUGGCACUAGAAAAUCUACUUCUCUUUCUACAUCAGCUCCCCCCACCUUUUAAAUCCUUAUGUUUCAGUUGUUGCAGAAAGAAGCAAGGUUGGGCACAGCCCAGUAUAUACUGUCCUGAACGUGUUGUCGCUGUCCACGUGUCCCCCCGUUCUUUUGAUCUUCUGCCUUGAAGUGAGGGUUUGUUGCAGGAUUCAGCUGGAGUUUGCUUUGAUAUCCUAACUCUUGGAUAUGUGGCAAAUACAUGCUUAUAUAGAUUAUAAACUGUCCCGAAGGUUUCCUGACAAGACAAAAGUGGACUAGGAGACUUCAAAAGGCUUAUUCAGAUUUGAAUUGACAAUGGAGAGAACUGAGCAAGGUAAAUGGAGUUAGAGCAGAUUUUACCUUGGGAUCUGAUGAGAGAGAAAUGACCUGUUGAGACUACAAUUCAGUGAAGAUUCUUCAGCAGGCAUCAUGCUGAUGGGGUAGGGGGAAAAAC
rnacentral:lncRNA from 1 species